GACGAACGCUGGCGGCGUGCUUAACACAUGCAAGUCGAACGGAAAGGCCCUGCUUGCAGGGUACUCGAGUGGCGAACGGGUGAGUAACACGUGGGUGAUCUGCCCUGCACUUCGGGAUAAGCCUGGGAAACUGGGUCUAAUACCGGAUAGGAGCCAUUUUUAGUGUGAUGGUUGGAAAGUUUUUUCGGUGUAGGAUGAGCUCGCGGCCUAUCAGCUUGUUGGUGGGGUAAUGGCCUACCAAGGCGGCGACGGGUAGCCGGCCUGAGAGGGUGGACGGCCACAUUGGGACUGAGAUACGGCCCAGACUCCUACGGGAGGCAGCAGUGGGGAAGAUUGCACAAGGGGCGCAAGCCUGAUGCAGCGACGCCGCGUGGGGGAUGACGGCCUUCGGGUUGUAAACUCCUUUCGCUAGGGACGAAGCUUUUUGUGACGGUACCUAGAGAAGAAGCACCGGCUAACUACGUG
rnacentral:rRNA from 1 species